rnacentral:rRNA from 1 species
GACGAACGCUGGCGGCGUGCUUAACACAUGCAAGUCGAACGGAAAGGCCCUGCUUUUGUGGGGUGCUCGAGUGGCGAACGGGUGAGUAACACGUGAGUAACCUGCCCUUGACUUUGGGAUGACUUCAGGAAACUGGGGCUAAUACCGGAUAGGAGCUCCUGCUGCAUGGUGGGGGUUGGAAAGUUUCGGCGGUUGGGGAUGGACUCGCGGCUUAUCAGCUUGUUGGUGGGGUAGUGGCUUACCAAGGCUUUGACGGGUAGCCGGCCUGAGAGGGUGACCGGCCACAUUGGGACUGAGAUACGGCCCAGACUCCUACGGGAGGCAGCAGUGGGGAAUAUUGCACAAUGGGCGGAAGCCUGAUGCAGCAACGCCGCGUGCGGGAUGACGGCCUUCGGGUUGUAAACCGCUUUCGCCUGUGACGAAGCGUGAGUGACGGUAAUGGGUAAAGAAGCACCGGCUAACUACGUGCCAGCAGCCGCGGUGAUACGUAGGGUGCGAGCGUUGUCCGGAUUUAUUGGGCGUAAAGGGCUCGUAGGUGGUUGAUCGCGUCGGAAGUGUAAUCUUGGGGCUUAACCCUGAGCGUGCUUUCGAUACGGGUUGACUUGAGGAAGGUAGGGGAGAAUGGAAUUCCUGGUGGAGCGGUGGAAUGCGCAGAUAUCAGGAGGAACACCAGUGGCGAAGGCGGUUCUCUGGGCCUUUCCUGACGCUGAGGAGCGAAAGCGUGGGGAGCGAACAGGCUUAGAUACCCUGGUAGUCCACGCUGUAAACGGUGGGUACUAGGUGUGGGGUCCAUUCCACGGGUUCCGUGCCGUAGCUAACGCUUUAAGUACCCCGCCUGGGGAGUACGGCCGCAAGGCUAAAACUCAAAGGAAUUGACGGGGCCCCGCACAAGCGGCGGAGCAUGCGGAUUAAUUCGAUGCAACGCGUAGAACCUUACCUGGGUUUGACAUGGAUCGGGAGUGCUCAGAGAUGGGUGUGCCUCUUUUGGGGUCGGUUCACAGGUGGUGCAUGGCUGUCGUCAGCUCGUGUCGUGAGAUGUUGGGUUAAGUCCCGCAACGAGCGCAACCCUUGUUCACUGUUGCCAGCACGUUAUGGUGGGGACUCAGUGGAGACCGCCGGGGUCAACUCGGAGGAAGGUGGGGAUGACGUCAAGUCAUCAUGCCCCUUAUGUCCAGGGCUUCACGCAUGCUACAAUGGCUGGUACAGAGAGUGGCGAGCCUGUGAGGGUGAGCGAAUCUCGGAAAGCCGGUCUCAGUUCGGAUUGGGGUCUGCAACUCGACCUCAUGAAGUCGGAGUCGCUAGUAAUCGCAGAUCAGCAACGCUGCGGUGAAUACGUUCCCGGGGC